rnacentral:rRNA from 1 species
GUAGGUGGCAAGCGUUGUCCGGAAUUAUUGGGCGUAAAGCGCGCGCAGGCGGUUCUUUUAAGUCUGAUGUGAAAAGCCCCACGGGCUCAACCGUGGGAGGGUCAUUGGAAACUGGAGAACUUGAGUACAGAAGAGGAAAGCGGAAUUCCACGUGUAGCGGUGAAAUGCGUAGAGAUGUGGAGGAACACCAGUGGCGAAGGCGGCUUUCUGGUCUGUAACUGACGCUGAGGCGCGAAAGCGUGGGGAGCAAACAGGAUUAGAUACCCUGGUAGUCCACGCCGUAAACGAUGAGUGCUAAGUGUUAGGGGGUUUCCGCCCCUUAGUGCUGCAGCUAACGCAUUAAGCACUCCGCCUGGGGAGUACGGCCGCAAAGGCUG